rfam:Equus caballus chromosome 1, whole genome shotgun sequence.
AUCUGUGGCCACACCACCCUGAACAUGCCCGAUCUUGUCUGAUCUCGGAAGCUAAGCAGGGUCCGGCCUGGUUAGUACUUGGAUGGGAGAAAUGUCUUCUCAAUACUGAAGAGUUCAGUAGGUCGUUUACU